UACGAAGGGGGCUAGCGUUGCUCGGAAUCACUGGGCGUAAAGGUGCGUAGGCGGGUCUUUUAAGUCAGGGGUGAAAUCCUGGAGCUCAACUCCAGAACUGCCUUUGAUACUGAAGAUCUUGAGUUCGGGAGAGGUGAGUGGAACUGCGAGUGUAGAGGUGAAAUUCGUAGAUAUUCGCAAGAACACCAGUGGCGAAGGCGGCUCACUGGCCCGAUACUGACGCUGAGGCACGAAAGCGUGGGGAGCAAACAGGG
rnacentral:rRNA from 1 species